UGCUUUUGGGCUGAAGAGCAAUAAAAGUGGAGAUUAACACUGGAGGGGGGUCUGGAACAGAUGGGUCUGAUGCUAAGUUGAUUUAUUAUCUCCUGGUACUAUUUGGGAUCAAGGGACUCACAAUCUUCAUUGUUGUUUUAUGACCCUGAAGGGUUUGGAGAACCUUUUGUUUAUAUUACAGGGGUUUGAGGAUCACAUUCUGAUACAUUGAUUGAAGUUUUAGAGACUGAUACUGCAAAUGCUCGACCACUUGUGAAAGUGGUCGCAAAGGUCAGCAAAUUGACAGUAAUGAUGGAGGCCUUCAGUGAGGCCAUCGAAUGGUUUAUUUUAAUGGGGAAGUGGUAAAAAUGGGAAAACAGGUUGAAGAGUUAUGCAGUAAUGCAUAGGUUUUCAAAGGUGAUGACUCAUCAUGACAGAGCAAACAGGCUGAAGGUAAAAGGAGAAGAAAUUGACUGUGAGGGUGAGAAUGAGAGGUAACAUUUUUGUGUAAACUUGGUAUGAGCAGAUUGCUUUGAGGUUAGACUGAACAAAGAGAACUUGGUUGGUCAAUUAGUUCAUGAAGACAUGGAACAGUCAUACACCAUGAGGGUGAGACCUACAAGCAAAACCUCAAAGGGAUCAUUGAACGGGGACACGAAGGCAAUGUUGGUGUUAAUUUUUCAUGAGUUGACUAUGGGGGUCAAUAAUCAGUUAUGUCGAAGAUUCCAAAUUUCUAUAAAUAAAUGGCUCCUCAAAUCGGUUGGAAACAAGGCCGUUUGAGAAAGGCAAUUUUCCAAAACAAUGUGUAAAUACUUUAGGAGCAGAUAAAGAUAUGCAGAGGCAUUCUUUACGUCAACGCAUCACAUUCUUCAUUCAGCUGAGGCUCUAAUCCAAAGUGACUUGCAGGAAGUGAAUUUGAACAAGAGGGAACAGAACCAGAACAGCAAGAACAAAGAAGAGAUUUCUCCUUCUAAGAAAGCAACAUUUGGAACUCCUUCCACCAUCAGGUGAACAUCAGGAGUCAGGACAAAUGAUGACUUUGUUGGGAGUUUAGCUCCCAGUAGGAGAAACAAUAGGCAGAUGCUGAGAUGGGAGUGAAUUAGGGACGAGGAUAGAUUUCAAAGGGGAUGCAGAGGUUGAAAGGUGAUGGCGACUCAUGGUCGAGGAGGGAGUGAGCAGACCUCCCUAAACCAACGACUGAUAAGAGGAGGAAUCCUGGGGAAGUGUCGGAGCCAUAAAAUCCAUCCACAGGUUGUAUUUCAUCUCAGAGUCACCCAACAGGUUUAAGAAUCACACACGUAGGAGCAGGCGACUCCAAUGCGAGACGGUCCAGAUCGGCAACGACACCCAGUAGAAACGGCGUUGUGGGGGUUUUACGACGUUGUUGGAUAAGCCAGGAGGUGGCCUGGGGGUGAUUAGCAUCACCAAAGGCUAUGUGAAGGGAUGCUUUUACACCUACCUCAACAUGAGGGACUGGGGGAGAACAGAAUACAACUAGAGUAUCUGCCGAUUUGGGAACAUUAUUGUAUGCAGUGAAAAACACAAUCAUAAGAUUCUAAACAACAGAGUUGUGUAGAUGACAUUGAUUUAAGGUGUUAAGAAGAACAUACAGUCGUUCUAUCAAUGAAACAACUCACAAAUUGAUUAGAAUGUUUUUAGGAAAACACUAGAUGUUAGAGUUUAGCUACUCAAGUGGCAUUUUACGGAUAACAGCAGACGAUGGCCAACGCAGGAAGAUCCAACCUGAACUUUUCUUCCUGGAACGAAUGUGUAAUGACAUUGCUCUUCUCAUACACAGGCACAAGGACUGAUGAGACACACAGAUGAUACAAUUACUCCACAUUAAAAGAAAUAGCUAAAACUGGGAAAUAAGUGGGUAAAAGGUUGAGUUCCAGUUAUGUUUAAAUAUGCACACACUAGAUGGUAGAACUUGUUUGCUUGAAGAGUUUGGUAAACCAGAAGAAAGAGCAACAGGAAUUGGGAGAGCACACACACACACACACACUCACACGCACAUCUAGACACACCUACACACACACGCACACACAUAGCUGCACCACUUGUGCUUCUCUAUUCAACAGCCGAUUGGGGAAUCUUGUCCUAAUGGGACCUCCGGUUAGCAGAGCAGUCUGCUCACAGGAACUGAGGUGAUCCGAGGUCCAAGGAGGGAGCGUGAAGCUUAAUCACACGUCUAGGAUGACAGCUACGUGUCAUCUGACCAAACCGCUGGCAACAACAGAUGUUCCAGCAGAGGAACAUCAAGGAGGAGAAGUAUAGGCACACACAUACAACGAAGGAAUCCACAAACACUGAGCUAAUGUGACACACAAUUUCCAGAUUAGAGAAGGAACGGGAACUGCUGGGACACUUGAUAAACAC
ensembl:lncRNA